UCAAGUCUUGAGGCAUAAAUCUAUUUUCUUUGUGGUGUAUGUAUGAUUGGCUGAGUCCAUUCAAAACCUGUGCCUUGAAUCUUCUGCAUUGCAGUUUUAGAGCCGAGCAGGGGCCUGCAAAGAGGGGAAAUUGGAUAAAAUAUCCCAAAUGGCUCUAGCCAGAUUCCUUGCUGUGAGUCUUCUCUGGCUUCUUUAUGCUCUUGCCAAGAAUAACCCCAAAGAUCCAAGGAGAGGGAAGCUAGUGAGGCAGAGGCUGGAUGCAGACCCAGCUUCCUCUCCACUCAGCAGGGAGCGAAAGACACAAGUCCCAAACUUCAGUGCUGCCCUUGGCUUCCAGAAGGAUUCACCAGCAGCCAAAGUCAUUGGUGGUGGGCACGGCUAAUAAGCCUCUCCUUUUUUCCUUUCUAGUUGGGCUUUGAUCUUCAAAUAUGUGCACUGAAGAUGCUUUGAAGCACACGGUUGGAAGGAAGGGAAGGGGAGUAGGUGAUGAAAAGGAACAAAGGAAAUGUCUGUGGAGGACAGAGCACAGGGGCUCAGAAUACAGAGAGAUAUCUCAUCAAUACAGGAAUUUUGAAAGUUUGUACAACUUGAGCUUUUCUGAGUGAUGCAGUAAGGAGGGAGGAAGAGCAAGCAGGAGGAUACUUAAGAUGAUGAUGGGCUGCUGGUGAUGCUGUGUCUCUACAAUAGUUUGAAUUGAUGGCUACCAUUGUAUUCUGGGGAUCUCUAUGCUGUCCUGUAAAAUAUGUUCCUAAGGAAAUGAGAUUAAGUACCUCAAAGAUUAUUUGUUUUAUUUUGCUGUGAAUCUUAACAGGGGAGACAAGCUUUUUCUAUUUCAAAAGAAGGUACAGAUGAGGACAUGUUCACCCCUGAACUAGACAAGACAGCACAGGCAACCCAUUGUCACUCUUGGCUCAUGGGGAUGAAUAGGGAAGUAAUAACUGUAGCUCUGAAGUCACUCCUGGGCAAUAUCCAAACUUCCAACGAGAAGCUGCUAAACCAUCUUGUGAAGCCAUGAAAUUAAGGCGCUAAAAGGACAGUAACAAUCAGGCUCCAUGACAACAUUUCCCAGCACCCUUGUGGUUUCUUAGGAGACAGGAAAGCAUCUUUCCAAAAUUGCUGCCUCAGUGACUUGUAAAAUGCCUCAUUGAUCACUGCUGGGGUGUAUGAAGCCAAGAUGAAGACUGGCUGUGCAGAGAUUCACAACAGAAUAAUUUCUUCUCCAAUAAGGCAUGGCUGAGUGUACUGCUAAUUGCCACGAGUCAAGGAACAAACUGAUAUGGCUUUUUAACAUGAUACACUUCCCCCUACUGAUUUUUUUUUUUUUAGCUUACUGCUUCCCAUGUGAAUCCCAGCAAAACUUUUAUGGUUAAGAGUUUCAGCUGCCUAUGAGAGGAACCUCAGUGUUCAGGGCAAAAUACAGGGAGGCUAUGGAGUAAAUGGUUUCAAUCUUGUGACCCAAAAAUUUAAAUUUUAUAACCAGAAGUAAGAAAAGAAAAUAUGUAGUUUUGCUUAAUUCAAAAAGAACCAGCUGGGAAAUAUAAUGUUUGUUCUAUUUU